GUGGGGAAUCUUCCGCAAUGGACGAAAGUCUGACGGAGCGACGCCACGUGAGUGAAGAAGGCCUUCGGGUCGUAAAGCUCUGUCAUCAGGGACGAACGGCCGGUGGAGUGGAAAGCCACCGGAUUGACGGUACCUGAGAAGGAAGCCACGGCUAACUACGUGCCAGCAGCCGCGGUAAUACGUAGGUGGCAAGCGUUGACCGGAAUUAUUGGGCGUAAAGCGCGCACAGGUGGGAUCUUAAGUGCAUUUUUAAAGUUCGGAUCUCAACUCCGUGAUGGGAUGGAAAAUGGGAUUCUUGAGUACCGGAGAGGAAAGCGGAAUUCCCCGUGUAGCGGUGAAAUGCGUAGAUAUGGGGAGGAACACCAGUGGCGAAGGCGGCUUUCUGGACGGUGUCUGACACUGAGGCGCGAAAGCCAGGGGAGCGAACGGGAUUAGAUACCCGUGUACC
rnacentral:rRNA from 1 species